UUUCCUCUUCAGAUUCCCCAAUUUAUGCGUUCUCCUCUUCUCCUUCCAUCUCUCCCUGCCAACGUUUCAAUCUCCCGAUCUCCCCAUCACCACAAACACACAUGGAACGGAUGGCGGCAUGCAUCCAUCUUCAUCACCCAUCGAGGGAUUUUAUUGCCCAUCUCCUUCUGGUGAUGGGAAGAAGGGCGGCUGCAUCUUCUUCUUCCCUAGCGCCGGCUACCUCAGCAAACACCACGGAUGGCAUCUCCACCACUUCCCCGACGGUGAGGCACCUGCCGUGGAGGUGGACUUGCAGGCGCUCCUCCACGCCAACGACGGCGAUCUGUCCCGCUCCCACCUCAACCACGUGAGGCGUCAUCGGCAUCCGGCCGUAAGGCGAAGACGACCCGUCGCCGUUCGUAAGAAAAAGGCCAUGGUACCAGGGACGCUCCUACUUUCUCUCCUUCCUUCCUCCUACUUACGAUUGUUCAAUAAGAAAUUACUUAAUUGACUACAAGCUAGGUUAUACGUUAUCAGUAAAUAACCCUGUUUCGUUUUGUAGUUGAGAACCACAUGGUCACCACUCGAGGCAUUCAACUCUCGGCAGCACCCGUAUACCACUCCAACUGGUAUCGUUUCAACGGGUUCCUGUUCUUCUAAAUCAAAGAUAAUAAGGCCAGCCAGACAUAAGAAAGUUUCUACAAGGAGAUGUGUGCGGUAUGGAUGGCUAGGUGGUCGUAAGGAUGGUCUUGGUAAACAAUUGUCUGAUGAUCUUGAAUCUUUGUUUUCUCAUGUCAACAAGGUAGAUGAUGAAUAUUCAAAAUGGCUGUGAGGUAAAGGAGAAGACACAUGUAGCCGUGUCAUGAUAACAGUUGCUGAAUGCAACUCAAGACUGUACGAAACCAGAAAGAAAGACAGGGUAGGCAACAUUCAAGGAGCAAACUGACUAACGUUCAAAUAAUCUGUUGGCGAGAUCCUUAUGUAGAUAUAUCGUAACGAGAAGGAGAGAUGACUCAAUAUAAUAUUUCAUCUUCAUCAACAGUACAAGGCAAGUUACAUCUUGAUCAUGCCCUUUUAUACCUAUGUUUUAUAUAUGCAUUUAGUCCUUUGAUGUAAGGUUUGCAUGAAUAUGUUAAUUGGCUAUAUUAUAAACCAGUAGUGCAAUGAGGUAGGUCUGAGCCUUUACUUCUUUGUCACCAACAUUGUGUGGAUUUUGCUAUGCCAUUGUAGACGGGGAUUGGUAUGUGAGAUCAUGAAAGUUGCGAGUGAUAUAAUAAUUAAGGGUAACCUUAAGGUGGCAACAUUAACACACAUCUGGGUGGAUUGGUAAGGGGCACCCUGGAGAAACCAGUGGACUUGCCCAGGGGAUCCCGGAGUACCCGUGUGAUCACCCUAUGGACUGCCACCCAGGCUCAAAGGGAUUCAUCAAUUUUUCAUGGCUAGAAGCUUACCUGCACAGCCACAAGCUAUUAUGGGCCCUGGCUUAGUUGAGUACGUUGUGUGACCUCUUACCGUGAUGGCAUGGAGUGGCCGCCGGAGUUGUCGAACUCUGACGAGUAAUUGCUCUCAGAGAAGGAUGAGGAAGAGAGGGGUUUUCUCGGGAGGGGUGAGGACUGUGAGGAGAACCUAUGGGCACUACUUAUAGGUGAGGGGGAGGUCAGAAUUCGAGCAGAUGGAGAUGAAAUGCAUGGACGUUUUGGGUGUCCCUUAAUGGCCACUACGGUCGCCUUUAAGGCGCACUGAGAAGAGGAGGGGGUCGAGGAAGAUGAGGGGAACCGGUUCUGUCCGUUUGUGGGUUGGGGGAGGGAGAGAAGGGGAGGAAGAGGUGGAGGCGCCAUGGAUGUAGCCUCUGUUCGUGUUCAUGUGAAUAUGAACGAGGAGGAAGAAGAAGCCUGCACGUAUGGGCCUAAGUGAAGUCAAGGCCCAAGAGAAAAAAUGAAAGAGAAAAAAAACAUAGAUGGGCUUGGCUGGUUGUGUAUGUUGUACUUGCUGGGUUAUGUGCGUGCACAGUGCUCCGAAAAAAAUGUGCUUAGCCCUAAAAGACUUGGAAUUAGAUUUCAUAAAUUAAUAAUUAGGUGACAAAAAACUUUAACUAACGAAACCAACAAAAAUGUGUACAAUUACAUAUUUAUUAUUUAGAGUCUAGGAAAAAAAAUAGUUUCAUAAUUUCGUAAAAAUUAAUUUGUGUGUAACUUAUUAAUGCAUUAUAGACUUAAUUGAAUUACUCAAAAUUCAAUUCAGAGUUUUUGAAAAUCCACAAACUGUUAAUUGUCAAUUACUAAAUAUUUCCGAAUAUUUCUUGGAGAAGUCAAAUUAUCUCCUCUCAUUAAUUUAUUUUAAUUAUUUGGAAAUAUAUAAAUGGCAUUAAAACUCCAAAUAAGAUCCAAUUUCAAAUGGAACUCCAAAUGGGAUACUCACCCACCACAUUUGAGGAAGUGAUGUUAUUCUCACUUCAAAAUUGUGAUUGUGGUUUCCAAUAUUUCAAAAAGAGUCAAACAGAAAUUAAAGCCCUUUGAUUUCUUGAAUAAAAUUCCCCAACCAUAGUUUUCUUUAUUGGACAAAAUGUUACCCAACUUUUAUAACAUGAUUAGAAAAAGUUUUAAACAACAACUCAAAAGGUUUUAAUUCUCAUGAAAAAAUAAAAUAAUUUCACACAAUCGAUCACACAACAAUCAAACAAACAUUCAUAUUUAUUUAUUUAAUAUAACAUUCCAAAAUAUUGAAUUUUGGGAGGCCGAGCCCGGGACAUUGCCCAAUGGACUUCCCUCGUCGACCUCUUCGCCCUCCUCAUUCUACUUGACAUUGGGGGCCUUCUUCCUCAACUCCGGCGACCUUUUUCCCCAACUCCGGCGACUAACUCUGGUGAGCACUGUGUAAAUCCCGUAUUUGUUUUACAGAAAAAUACUCAAACUUCGGAAAAUCAUAUCUCCUAAACUGUAUGCCCAAAUUCGACAAAUUUUAUUUUCCCAGAUUCCUUGGAACAUCUAGUUUAUUAUAAAAAUACGAGAUCUCAGUUUUUGGCAAGUUAAAGUUUAGUUCUGUUUUAAAUGUUAAGUUGAGUACUUUUGCUAUAUCUUCUAAUCUAUAGGACAUAUAAAAAUGUUUAUUAUAUGAAAGUUCGACCUUAGGACAUCACCUUUUUUUUGGAACUCAUGGAAUAAAUUUUCAGCAAGAUUUAGCCACUGUCUUAACAUCAACACCUUAAUUUGACCUUCUCGAUCAUUUAAUAACUUUUGACACGAAGUUAAAUCUUUUAGAUUGAUCCCUAGAAAACCUCUUUCAUCACAUGCCAUCAUCAUACAAAUUUGGACUUAGGAAAUGUUACAUAAAUUUUUGUAACAUAAACCCUAUGGCAUCAACUCCAUCUAUCAUUUUUAUUGGACCCAAGUCAAAUAUUCCAAUCAAACCCAUUAUAGACUUUGUCGUAGAACCUUGCCUCCCAACUCUUCAAGCCGUGAUCUUCACUUUGACCCAACCCUAGAAUAAAAUCCUAUAUCAUAUUUUCAUUCUUAAUCUUAUCUCAACCCGUAACCAAGUCCUAACAACUUAUGUUGGAAUGUUUUUUUUAUUUUUUUAUUUGUAUUCUAAUUUGAGUAUUUUAUUUGGACCUUUAUUUGGAUGUUGUUGUGUGUUAAAGUACUUUAUUAUAUCGUUAGAUAUAUCGUAACGAGAAGGAGAGACAACUUAAUAUAAUAUUUCAUCUUCAUCAACAGUACAAGGCAAGUUACAUCUUGAUCAUGCCCUUUUAUACCUAUGUUUUAUAUAUGCAUUUAGUCCUUUGAUGUAAGGUUUGCAUGAAUAUAUUAGUUGGCUAUAUUAUAAACCAGUAGUGCAAUGAGGUAGGUCUGAGCCUUUACUUCUUUGUCACCAACAUUGUAGGGAUUUUGCUAUGCCAUUGUUGACCGGGAUUGGUAUGUGAGAUCAUGAAAGUUGCAAGUGAUAUAAUAAUUAAGGGUAACCUUAAGGUGGCAACAUUAACACACAUCUGGGUGGAUUGGUAAGGGGCACCCUGGAGAAACCAGUGGACUUGCCUGGGCACCCUGGAGAAACCAGUGGACUUGCCCAGGGGAUCCCGGAGUACCCGUGUGAUCACCCUAUGGACUGCCACCCAGGCUCAAAGGGAUUCAUCAAUUUUUCAUGACUAGAAGCUUACCUGCACAGCCACAAGCUAUUAUGGGAUCUAUCUUAGUUGAGUACGUUGUGUGACCUCUUACCUUGAUGGCGUGGAGUGGCCGCCGGAGUUGUCGAACUCCGACGAGCAAUUGCUCAGAGAGAAGGACGAGGAAGAAAGGGGUUUUCUCGGGAGGGGGUGAGGACUGUGAGGAGAACCUAUGGGCACUACUUAUAGGUAAGGGGGAGGUCAGAAUUCGAGCAGAUGGAGAUGAAAUGCAUGGACGUUUUGGGUGUCCGUUAAUGGCCACUACGGUCGCCUUUAAGGCGCACUAAGAAGGGGAGGGGGUCGAGGAAGACGAGGGGAACCGGUUCUGACCGUUUGUGGGUUGGGGGAGGGAGAGAAGGGGAGGAAGAGCUGAAGGCGCCAUGGAUGUAUCCUCUGUUCGUGUUCCUGUGAAUAUGAACGAGGAGGAAGAAAAAGCCUGCGCGUAUGGGCCUAAGUGAAGUCAAGGCCCAAGAGAAAAAAUGAAAGAGAAAAAAAACAUAGAUGGGCUUGGCUGGUUGUGUAUGCUGUACUUGCUGGGUUAUGUGCGUGCACAGUGCUCCGAAAAAAAUGUGCUUAGCCCUAAAAGACUUGGAAUUAGAUUUCGUAAAUUAAUAAUUAGGUGACGAAAAACUUUAACUAACGAAACCAACAAAAAUGUGUACAAUUACAUAUUUAUUAUUUAGAGUCUAGGAAAAAAAUAGUUUCAUAAUUUCAUAAAAAUUAAUUUGUGUGUAACUUAUUAAUGCAUUAUAGACUUAAUUGAAUUACUCAAAAUUCAAUUCAGAGUUUUUGAAAAUCCACAAACUGUUAAUUGUCAAUUACUAAAUAUUUCCGAAUAUGUCUUGGAGAAGUCACAUUAUCUCCUCUCAUUAAUUUAUUUUAAUAAUUUGGAAAUAUAUAAAUGGCAUUAAAACUCCAAAUAAGAUCCAAUUUCAAAUGGAACUCCAAAUGGGAUACUCAUCCACCACAUUUGAGAAAGUCAUGUUAUUCUCACUCCAAAAUUGUGAUUGUGGUUUCCAAUAUUUCAAAAAGAGUCAAACAGAAAUUAAAGCUCUUUGAUUUCUUGAAUAAAAUUCCCCAACCAUAGUUUUCUUUAUUGGACAAUAUGUUACCAACUUUUAUAACAUGAUUAGAAAAAGUUUUAAACAACAACUCAAAAGGUUAUUCUCACGAAAAAAUAAAAUAAUUUCACACAAUCCAUCACACAACAAUCAAACAAACAAUCCUAUUUAUUUAUUUAAUAUAACAUUCCAAAAUAUUGAAUUUUGGGAGGCCGAGCCCGGGACAUUGCCCAAUGGACUUCCCUCGUCGACCUCUUCGUCGUCCUCAUUCUACUUGACGUUGCGGGCCUUCUUCCUCAACUCCGGCGACCUUUUUCCCCAACUCCAGCGACUAACUCCGAUAUGUCGUAACGAGAAGGAGAGACGACUCAAUAUAAUAUUUCAUCUUCAUCAACAGUACAAGGCAAGUUACAUCUUGAUCAUGCCCUUUUAUACCUAUG